rnacentral:tRNA from 1 species
GGGAAUGUGGCUUAUGGUAGAGUGCUUGCCUAGCAUGCAGGAAGCCCUAGGUUUGAUUCCUCAGUACCA